ACAGAGACUGCAAGCGUUAUUCGGAUUCACUGGGCGUAAAGGGUGCGCAGGCGGCCGGGUGUGUCAGAUGUGAAAUCCCGAGGCUCAACCUCGGAACUGCGUCUGAAACUACUCGGCUAGAGUAUUGGAGAGGGUAACGGAAUUCACGGUGUAGCAGUGAAAUGCGUAGAUAUCGUGAGGAACACCAGAGGCGAAGGCGGUUACCUGGACAAUUACUGACGCUCAGGCACGAAAGCGUGGGGAGCAAAAGG
rnacentral:rRNA from 1 species